rnacentral:rRNA from 1 species
UACGUAGGGUGCAAGCGUUGUCCGGAAUUAUUGGGCGUAAAGAGCUCGUAGGCGGUCUGUCGCGUCGGCUGUGAAAACCCGGAGCUCAACUCCGGGCCUGCAGUCGAUACGGGCAAACUGGAGUGUUGCAGGGGGAGACUGGAAUUCCUGGUGUAGCGGUGAAAUGCGCAGAUAUCAGGAGGAACACCGGUGGCGAAGGCGGGUCUCUGGGGCAACAACUGACGCUGGAGGAGCGAAAGCGUGGGGGAGCGAACAGGAAUU